CCCCGCCGCCACCCCCUUGCGCGGCCGAAUGGCUAACUGGUUGAUCCUGCCAGUAGCAUAUGCUUGUCUCAAAGAUUAAGCCAUGCACGUGUAAGUACACAUGUUCGGUACAGUGAAACUGCGAAUGGCUCAUUAAAUCCGGGUUCGAUUCCGGAGAGGGAUCCUGAGAAACGGCUACCACAUCCAAGGAAGGCAGCAGGCGCGCAAAUUUCCCACUCCCGACUCGGGGAGGUAGUGACGAAAAAUAACAAAACAGGACUUUUUCGAGGCCCUGUAAAUGGAAUGAGUACACUUUAAAUCCUUUAACGAGGAUCUAUGGGAGAGCAAGUCUGGUGCCAGCAGCCGCGGUAAUUCAAACUCCAAUCACGUAUAAUAAAGUUGCUGCAGUUAAAAAGCUUGUAGUUGGAUCUUGGGAUCGAGCUGGCGGUCCGCUGCGAGGUGUGCUACCGCCUGUCCCAGCCCCUGCCUCUCGGCGCCUCCCCGAUGCUCAUGACUGAGUGUCCCGGGGGCCUUAAGCGUUUACUUUGAAAAAAUUAGAGUGUUCAAAGCAGGCCGGUCGCCUGAAUACUUCAGCUAGGAAUAAUGGAAUAGGACUCCGGUUCUAUUUCCUUGGUUUUCGGAACUGGGGCCAUGAUUAAGAGGGACGGCCGGGGGCAUUCGUAUUGUGCCGCUAGUGGUGAAAUUCUUGGACCGGCGCAAGACGAACCAAAGCGAAUGCAUUUGCCAAGAAUUUUUUCAUUUAUCAAGAAUGAAAGUAGGAGGUUCGAAGACGAUCAGAUAUCGUCGUAGUUCCGACCAUAAACGAUGCCGACUAGCGAUCCGGCGGCGUUAUUCCCAUGACCCGCCGAGCAGCUUCCGGGAAACCAAAGUCUUUGGGUUCCGGGGGGAGUAUGGUUGCAAAGCUGAAACUUAAAGGAAUUGACGGAA